GUGAAGAUAAAAUAGUUAGAAUCGAUCGUUGGGAAGGUGUGUUAAAAAUGAAGAUCUGAUCAAUCCUGCAAUGAAUUCCAUUUAGGCCAGUGUAAACUCAAAUAUCACGCAUGCAUGGUUACAUAUACGUACACAUGCAUGUUGGCGUAUUUGUCCCCCCACCCCCUUUUACAGUGUUGGUUUUGACAUGCAUUUGACAAAGC